UACAUGCAAGUCGAGCGAAUGGAUUAAGAGCUUGCUCUUAUGAAGUUAGCGGCGGACGGGUGAGUAACACGUGGGUAACCUGCCCAUAAGACUGGGAUAACUCCGGGAAACCGGGGCUAAUACCGGAUAACAUUUUGAACCGCAUGGUUCGAAAUUGAAAGGCGGCUUCGGCUGUCACUUAUGGAUGGACCCGCGUCGCAUUAGCUAGUUGGUGAGGUAACGGCUCACCAAGGCAACGAUGCGUAGCCGACCUGAGAGGGUGAUCGGCCACACUGGGACUGAGACACGGCCCAGACUCCUACGGGAGGCAGCAGUAGGGAAUCUUCCGCAAUGGACGAAAGUCUGACGGAGCAACGCCGCGUGAGUGAUGAAGGCUUUCGGGUCGUAAAACUCUGUUGUUAGGGAAGAACAAGUGCUAGUUGAAUAAGCUGGCACCUUGACGGUACCUAACCAGAAAGCCACGGCUAACUACGUGCCAGCAGCCGCGGUAAUACGUAGGUGGCAAGCGUUAUCCGGAAUUAUUGGGCGUAAAGCGCGCGCAGGUGGUUUCUUAAGUCUGAUGUGAAAGCCCACGGCUCAACCGUGGAGGGUCAUUGGAAACUGGGAGACUUGAGUGCAGAAGAGGAAAGUGGAAUUCCAUGUGUAGCGGUGAAAUGCGUAGAGAUAUGGAGGAACACCAGUGGCGAAGGCGACUUUCUGGUCUGUAACUGACACUGAGGCGCGAAAGC
rnacentral:rRNA from 1 species